UACGAAGGGGGGCUAGCGUUGUUCGGAAUUACUGGGCGUAAAGCGCACGUAGGCGGACUUUUAAGUCAGAGGUGAAAUCCCAAGGCUCAACCUUGGAACUGCCUUUGAUACUGGAAGUCUUGAGUAUGGUAGAGGUUGGUGGAACUGCGAGUGUAGAGGUGAAAUUCGUAGAUAUUCGCAAGAACACCAGUGGCGAAGGCGGCCAACUGGACCAUUACUGACGCUGAGGUGCGAAAGCGUGGGGAGCAAACAGG
rnacentral:rRNA from 1 species